GUGAAGUGAUGAAUCUGUUUAUCCAUUCUCUGAGCGGUCGUCUCGUCGCAGUCUCCGCCUCUGCUCCCGUUCUGGGGGCGGGGCCUCUCCGCCGCGGUGCCGUCGUCCCGGCGUUCUGCCGGGCGAUGACGUGGAUCGCGUGGAGAGAACGGCUCGGCGCGUCCGCUGCAAAGACGAUCACAUGUUCUGAUCAC